GGAUAGGUGGGAGGCUUUGAAGCACGUACGCCAGUAUGUGUGGAGCCGUCCUUGAAAUACCACCCUUGUAGUGUUGAUGUUCUAACGUCGACCCCUUAUCGGGGUUACGGACAGUGCCUGGUGGGUAGUUUGACUGGGGCGGUCUCCUCCCAAAGAGUAACGGAGGAGCACGAAGGUGGGCUAAUCACGGUUGGACAUCGUGAGGUUAGUGCAAUGGCAUAAGCCCGCUUGACUGCGAGAAUGACAAUUCGAGCAGGUGCGAAAGCAGGUCAUAGUGAUCCGGUGGUUCUGAAUGGAAGGGCCAUCGCUCAACGGAUAAAAGGUACUCCGGGGAUAACAGGCUGAUACCGCCCAAGAGUUCAUAUCGACGGCGGUGUUUGGCACCUCGAUGUCGGCUCAUCACAUCCUGGGGCUGAAGUCGGUCCCAAGGGUAUGGCUGUUCGCCAUUUAAAGUGGUACGCGAGCUGGGUUUAGAACGUCGUGAGACAGUUCGGUCCCUAUCUGCCGUGGGCGUUGGAAGAUUGAAGGGGGCUGCUCCUAGUACGAGAGGACCGGAGUGGACGAACCUCUGGUGUUCGGG
rnacentral:rRNA from 1 species